ACAUGGUUAUAUCAUAGGGUUAAUGUACCGAAUCCCAUUAGAAAUCCGUAGUUAAGCACGCUUAGGCUAGAGUAGUACUGGGAUGGGUGACCAUCCGAGAAUUCCUAGUGUUGCACAUU
rnacentral:rRNA from 1 species